GAUGGAGAACGUAGCGAAAUGCGAUAAGUAAUGUGAAUUGCAGAAUUCAGUGAAGCAUCGAAUCUUUGAACGCACAUUGCGCCCGCCAGUAUUCUGGCGGGCAUGCCUGUUCGAGCGUCAUUUCAACCAUCAAGCCCCAGGCUUGUGUUGGGGACCUGCGGCUGCCGCAGGCCCUGAAAACCAGUGGCGGGCUCGCUGUCACACCGGGCGUAGUAGAUUUUAUCUCGCUCAGGGCGUGCUGCGGGUUCCGGCCGUUAAAAAGCCUUUUUUACCCAAGGUUGACCUCGGAUCAGGUAGGAAGACCCGCUGAACUUAAGCAUAUCAAUAAGCGGAGGA
rnacentral:misc_RNA from 1 species